AGACAGCAGUAGCCGCGGGAAUACGGAGGGUGCAAGCGUUAAUCGGAAUUACUGGGCGUAAAGCGCACGCAGGCGGUCUGACAAGUCAGAUGUGAAAUCCCCGGGCUUAACCUGGGAACUGCAUUUGAAACUGUCAGGCUGGAGUCUUGUAGAGGGGGGUAGAAUUCCAGGUGUAGCGGUGAAAUGCGUAGAGAUCUGGAGGAAUACCGGUGGCGAAGGCGGCCCCCUGGACGAAGACUGACGCUCAGGUGCGAAAGCGUGGGGAGCAAACAGGAUUAGAUACCCCGGUAGUCCCUGUCUCUUAUAC
rnacentral:rRNA from 1 species